UACGUAGGGGGCGAGCGUUGUCCGGAAUCAUUGGGCGUAAAGAGCGUGUAGGUGGCCCGGUAAGUCCGCCGUGAAAGUCCAGGGCUCAACCCUGGAAAGCCGGUGGAAACUGCAAAGCUAGAGUCCGGAAGAGGAGAGUGGAAUUCCUGGUGUAGCGGUGAAAUGCGCAGAUAUCAGGAGGAACACCUGAGGUGAAGACGGGUUGCUGGGCGUGACACUGACGUGAGGCGCGAAAGCUAGGGUAGCAAACGGGGAUUAGAACC
rnacentral:rRNA from 1 species